UACGUAGGGCGCGAGCGUUGUCCGGAAUUAUUGGGCGUAAAGAGCUCGUAGGCGGCCUGUUGCGUCCGCUGUGAAAGCCCGGGGCUUAACCCCGGGUCUGCAGUGGAUACGGGCAGGCUAGAGGUAGGUAGGGGAGAAUGGAAUUCCCGGUGUAGCGGUGAAAUGCGCAGAUAUCGGGAGGAACACCAGUGGCGAAGGCGGCCUUCUGGACCAGUACUGACGCUCAUGCACGAAAGCGUGGGGAGCAAACAGG
rnacentral:rRNA from 1 species